rnacentral:rRNA from 1 species
GAUGAACGCUGACAGAAUGCUUAACACAUGCAAGUCAACUUGAACUUCGGUUUGGGUGGCGGACGGGUGAGUCACGCGUAAAGAACUUGCCUCACAGCUAGGGACAACAUUUGGAAACGAAUGCUAAUACCUGAUAUUAUGAUUAUAUGGCAUCGUAUAAUUAUGAAAGCUAUAUGCGCUGUGAGAGAGCUUUGCGUCCCAUUAGCUAGUUGGAGAGGUAACAGCUCACCAAGGCGAUGAUGGGUAGCCGGCCUGAGAGGGUGAUCGGCCACAAGGGGACUGAGACACGGCCCUUACUCCUACGGGAGGCAGCAGUGGGGAAUAUUGGACAAUGGACCGAGAGUCUGAUCCAGCAAUUCUGUGUGCACGAUGAAGUUUUUCGGAAUGUAAAGUGCUUUCAGUUGGGAAGAAAAAAAUGACGGUACCAACAGAAGAAGUGACGGCUAAAUACG